rnacentral:siRNA from 1 species
CCGCCCGUCGCUCCUACCGAU